rfam:Triticum aestivum genome assembly, contig: Triticum_aestivum_CS42_TGACv1_scaffold_644335_T_1BL-0.128163_1BS-0.069513
AAUAUACUCCCUCCGUCCCGAAAUACUCAUUGGAGAAAUGCAUAAAAAUGGAUGUAUCCAAAACUAAAAUACGUCUAGAUACAUCCAUUCCUCCGACAAGUAUUUCCGGACGGAGGGAGUACUAA